rnacentral:rRNA from 1 species
GUGUACGUUCAUACUAGCAUUAAUGCAUCAGAUCCCAUUGGAACUCCGAAGUUCAGCGUGCUUGGGCGAGAAUUGUACAAAGUAUUGGCCUGUCACAUGACCUUCAUA